rnacentral:rRNA from 1 species
CCAGCAGCUGCGGUAAUUCCGGCGCCAAUAGCGUAUAUUGAAGUUGUUGCAGUUAAAACGCUCGUAGUCUGAGAUGGAGUGUGUGGGGGUGUGGGUCGAUAGAUUUGCAUACCCGCGCACUCGUUCUGACAGCAAUGUCGGGGUUACUUUGAGGAAAUUAGGGUGUUCAAGGCAGGCGUGUGCUUGGAUAUCGCAGCAUGGAAUAACGGAGUAGGAUUCGCUUCUUAUUUUGUUGGUUUGGGGGAGUGAGUAAUGAUUAAUAGGUGCAGUUGGGGGCAUUGGUAUUUGGUAGUCAGAGGUGAAAUUCUUGGAUUUACCAAAGACUAGCUGGGGCGAAAGCGUUUGCCAAGGAUGUUUUCAUUGAUGAAGAACGAAAGU